rnacentral:lncRNA from 1 species
CUUUGCACGGGGCCUUCAGGUUUAUAUCAGACAACUUCGAUUGGCUCUCCAGGGUAAAACAGGCGAGGCCUUAAAAACAGAGGAGAACAAGAUAAAAGUUGUUGCAUUGAAAAUAACAAACAAUAUCAAUGUUUUAAUCAAGGAUCUCUUUCACAUUCCUCCUUCUUAUAAGAGCACGGUAACAUUGUCCUGGAAACCUGUACAGAAAGUUGAGAUUGGGCAAAAGAGAACCAGUGAAGAUACAAGUUCAGGUUCACCACCUAAGAAAUCUCCAGGAGGACCAAAAAGGGAUGCCAGACAGAUUUACAAUCCUCCUAGUGGGAAGUACAGCAGCAAUUUGGGCAACUUUAAUUAUGAGCAGAGAGGAGCCUUCAGGGGAAGUAGAGGUGGCCGAGGUUGGGGAACAAGAGGAAAUCGUAGUCGAGGACGACUCUACUGAUUGCGACAUCACACUCUUGAGCAUUGUCGUGAGAUUAAUAUACUUAAAUCUACUACUACUCAUUGGAUUGCCGGGGAUGUCCCUUUAAAAGGACUGCUGCCUUCAGCUGAAAACGUAAUGUUCUUUCUACCUUUGUAUGUAUGAUCUACUUUUGUAAAAGACCAUGGUUGUGUCCAAGGUAAAACCACAACAAUAUUUUUGGAUGCUUUGUCUGCAGCCUUGACUUGUUUUCACAAUAUCCUCAUUAUCCAGACUUCAUCUUGUGAAUCUUGCUUUUACACAUCUUGAUAAUUUGUUAUUGAGAACUGACUCUAAUGGGAAAUUCAGUCUAGCUUGUGAUCUGGUAAAGAUGAUCACUUUUUGAAGCGUUACUUAUUUUCCUCCCCAUUCUGUUACAGUUUCUUGCCCAAUACAUGGAGAAGAGUAGUAAUCAGUCUUAACCUUUUGCUUCCAUUGUUUUCUAAUGAAGCUGCUAGGCAGUGUUGUAACAUUCCUGCCAAGGGUCAUAGAAAUUAAACACCAGCUUCUCACAGUGUACAAGUGACAUCAGGCUUUUAGAAAGAAGUUGCUUUGCAUUGCUCCCUUCACUCUUCUCCAUAUUUUGGAAUACAGCUUUGAACGCAGGGUCUUAUUAUUUGAAUAAGAGUACAUGUGCAUAAUAUACGUACAGACAUAAGCAUAUGUUGUGUGUGUAUAUAUGCAUGCUAUGGAACUUGAGUAUACAACAAAUCAAUACUUUAAAUUCUCAGAAUGGGUCAUCUGAUAUAGUGAUUAUCCCUUUGAGACUGAAUCCAUUACUGACUUGGUAUCUAGGUUUCUACUCCAGUAGGGAGGAAUUUCAGUCAGUUGAACUCACAUGAUUAUUAUUGUUUAAAACUAAAAAGAAAGUCUCUUUUUUCAGAGACAAAUCUAAAGACCCUUGUUGGUGAAAUACAGCCAGAUCUGAUGUACAUACAGGAUGUGAUAGUGUAUUUAGGAUUUGGAGACUUAAUAACCAGGGCUACCCAGGAAAGUGACUUGAUGACAUAGUACCUACCAUAAGAGUUGUUCACUCAGCUUGCUUUUGCCACUUUCAAAAUUUAACUUCUCAGGUUAUUAAUCAGAUUAUUGUAUGUUAGCCAAUAGUCUUUAGAUUAAGACAACAGAUGGGAGGUUUGUGGAGUGUCUUGUGUUGGGCAUUUUUAGUAGCCCAGACUCUGUUCUUCAUUUGAAUGUUUCAUAAAUUUUUGUUCCACAGUUACUCUUCCUUCUCCAAGUUUGCUAUUCAAAUCAGAAAUUCAGAUGACAUUUUUAGUGGUUUGUUGUUUUGGUUUUUUUGAGGUUUUGAUUCCUACACAGGUGUCUUCAUUACCAUCACUUCUACACUGGGAAAAAAAAAAUAAUCUCCUUUGUGAGAACCACUGCACGUAUUUAUGGCAAAAAUAUUUCUGAAAGUCUAGAAUGAUGGAAAUGAGCACGGGAAGUUGGUCAGCUUGACUAAGGAGUGCUGGCAAUAAACUCUGAGCAUUCCACAGGACUGAGCUGAACCUAGGCUCCCUUGGAAUCUGAACAGACAGGAACAUGGGAUUGCCAGUUGACUACUCUGACCAUCUAGUUAUGGACUUCAGAGAUAAAUCAGCCAUGGCCUAAAGCCAUUUCAAGAACAAAAAUGAAUUGGGACUAUAGCAAUAUAAGUUUGAACACAGUAAUGUUUCCUCUCUUGUCUGAGGGUAUUUGUAAACUCAGCAGAAGUAACUUGACCUCAUGUCUACUACAGAACUCCCUGCAUUCAUCCCUUCCUUAUCCUUUUGCUUCCUUUCCCUUGCCUAGUCAGUAGUUCAUGACUUAGUAUUCUUUUUGCUUCAGAAAUUUGAAAGAAAAUCUUUAUGCCAUGAAUCUUUUUCUUCCACAAGGACACCUGUUUACCACCUUGUUUAAAUGUAAAUGUUCCCUUAUGCUUUUGAAAUAAAUUUCCUUUUGUAAUUUUGU